GCAAGUCGAGCGAGAAGGUAAAGUCUUGUUCACGGAAGAAGACGUAACUGGAAGGCGGCGGACGGGUGAGUAACGCGUGUGUAACGUGCCCCAUACACAGGGAUAGCCAUUGGAAACGAUGAUUAAUACCUGAUAACACAUAUCUACUGCAUAUGAAAAAUGUCAAAGAGUUUUCGGUAUGGAUGGAUUCGCGUCUGAUUAGCUAGUUGGUAAGGUAAUGGCUUACCAAGGCGACGAUAAGUAGCCGACCUGAAAGGGUGAUC
rnacentral:rRNA from 1 species